UAACCUAUCUAGUGAUAGAUAGUUGAACAGUCAGAAGUCAUAGUACUCUUUCAAGCUCGAGAUGGAAGAGGAAGGAC
rfam:Bacillus sp. X1(2014), complete genome.